UACGUAUGGGGCAAGCGUUGUUCGGAAUUAUUGGGCGUAAAGGGCGUGUAGGUGGCUUUGUAAGUCUGGUGUUAAAUAUUUCGGCUUAACCGGGAUUUUGCGCUGGAAACUGUAAGGCUUGAGUUCUGAAUGGGAAGCUGGAAUUCCUGGUGUAGGGGUGAAAUCUGUAGAUAUCAGGAAGAACACCAAUGGCGAAGGCAAGCUUCUGGGCAAGAACUGACACUGAGGCGCGAAAGCGUGGGGAU
rnacentral:rRNA from 1 species